CGCGCCCGCUUGCUCGCUCGCGUGCCUCCCUCCUCGGGCCUCGGCGGCCGCCCAGCCCUCACCCUCCUCAGGCCUCCGGGGCGGGACCAGACAGCCGCGGACUACAGCCUGGCCCCUCCCGGGGCGCCGGAGGACACCGGGCGCUGCGCUCCCCCGCCCGGGCACUGGCGCCUCGGGGAUGCGUGACACCCCACAUGCGUUUCGGGGUUUUAUGGGUCCCUGUUCAGAAGCGGCUCACGAGGUGAGGCGAGGCUACGCCGCGUGCCCCGACCUAAGGAGCCGUGACUUUGCAACCGCCCGAACUUUGCUAACCGGGAAGGGCCGCUGACUCCUCCCCGGCGGGCUGACGCCUCCCCCGCCCGCCGCCCUCCCUCUCUUUGACAAAAGACACUUCCAUCUAAAAGGACUCAAACGCUCCGUUGGGGGCUCUUCUUUUCAGUGCAAAACCUGCGUAAACUCCCACAGGGAUUUUUGCGACACGCCUUCGUGGGGUGCCUCGCUCGUGAGGGUGUGCGCGGCGCGGCCCUCGGGGUGCAGGCUCGGCCGGCAGGUGCCCGCGCCGCGCUCGCCGCCCCGCGCGGGCGCGCACCCAGGGCCCCCGGCGCCCGGCCACGCCUUGCGAUGCCUCUGCGGGCGGAGGAGCGACGAGCACCUGCGGUGGAAAAGUUCCCGAUCGUCACCCACAGAAGGACCCAGAAGACCAGGGAGAAGGUGUUCUAAGAAUCUUGGUGUCAAGCUGUCUUCGAUCUGAAUUGCUGGAAGUACACAAGGUACCAAAAAUGAAAAUGUCAGAAUUAUUUGUCAUUAAACAGAGUGAAUCAAUAAUACUGCAUGCUUAGACGGCAACUUUGGAGAACUCACAUCAAAACCAUUAUCUGAUGAUAGGGAGUAUUGUAAAUCAAUUGAGC
ensembl:lncRNA